UGGUGAAUAUUGCACAAUGGUCGCAAGCCUGAUGCAGCCAUGCCGCGCGUGUGAAGAAGGCCUUCGGGUUGUAAAGCACUUUCAGCGGGGAGGAAGGCGUUAAGGUUAAUAACCUUGGCGAUUGACGUUACCCGCAGAAGAAGCACCGGCUAACUCCGUGCCAGCAGCCGCGGUAAUACGGAGGGUGCAAGCGUUAAUCGGAAUUACUGGGCGUAAAGCGCACGCAGGCGGUUGAUUGAGUCAGAUGUGAAAUCCCCGGGCUUAACCCGGGAAUUGCAUCUGAUACUGGUCAGCUAGAGUCUUGUAGAGGGGGGUAGAAUUCCAUGUGUAGCGGUGAAAUGCGUAGAGAUGUGGAGGAAUACCGGUGGCGAAGGCGGCCCCCUGGACAAAGACUGACGCUCAGGUGCGAAAGCGUGGGGAGCAAACAGG
rnacentral:rRNA from 1 species